rnacentral:misc_RNA from 1 species
GCUAAAGCAAGUAUUUUUUAGUACUAGUGUAACAAAACAAUGAGAUUUAUUAUUAUCCCCGUAAGCUGCGCGUUGAUUUUGGGCCUCUUUUCCUCCCUAACACCAACGUCUGCGUCUGCAGGGAUCAACGUGUGGCCGAAGCCUACAUCUUUGUCAUGGCCUCAUCCACAGGCCACUCUUCUCUCCCCAACCUUCUCCAUCUCCUCUCCCAACCACCCUUACCUCUCUCCCGCUGUCAAGCGCUAUCUCCUCCAAAUUCUAACCGAGCACCACCGACCUCUCGUCGACCCCGCUGUCAACCUCGUCAAUUCAUCCCCUUCCUUGCAGACUCUUGCUAUCAUCGUCGCCGAUCUCACCGCCCCACUCCAUCAUGGUGUCAAUGAAUCGUACAGCCUUUUCAUCCCCAGCACCGGGCCCACC